rnacentral:tRNA from 1 species
UGGUGCAGAGGUUAGCAUGUCUGCCUAUGAAGCUGAAGACCUGGGUUCGAAUCCUGG